rnacentral:rRNA from 1 species
UACGUGGGGGGCAAGCGUUGUCCGGAGUUACUGGGCGUAAAGCGCACGCAGGCGGUCUGUUAAGUUUGGAGUGACAGUUGGUGGCUUAACUGCCAAAGUGCUUCGAAAACUGAUCGACUUGAGGGCUUCAGAGGGACACGGAAUUCCGGGUGGAGUGGUGAAAUGCGUAGAUAUCGGGAGGAACACCUGUGGCGAAAGCGGCUCACUGGACCACAACUGACGCUGAGGCGCGAAAGCUAGGGGAGCAAACAGG